rnacentral:ncRNA from 2 species
AUAAUUGCUGUGAAGGAAAGUAGUACUUAACAUUCUCUAUAAAAGCGAACCUAGGAUGGUGGAAGCUAGGGUAUAGGGCAUUAAGGAAGGCGUUCCAGAGCAAACGUAUUUGAAAGAGGCUGUUUUUUGACAGCAAAUAGGGUGGAACCGCGGGUAAACUCUCGUCCCUAUG